CUGGUGAUAGCAACACUAGUCUGAGGGCAAAAUAUCAGGGUAAGGCAAAGUCCCAUAUCAUGAAGUCAUAAAAGUUAUAAACACGUCUUGGACAAGUACACUCUGCAACACAACACCUGCCUGGCUGAACAGAGAACAGUGGAUCAAGCUCUAAGGAAAGUGUCUUCCUGACCACAUUGGAGCUGAACAGCAGUAGAUGCCCAAACUGCACCUGGGGGGGGGGGACAAGGAAAGUUCAGCUUGGAAGAAACUUCAGAAAAUGGCCUCAAGACCAAAUUUAUUGAGCAAAGAGCCGCCACCUGAUUUCUUUAUUCAUUUACUUAUGAAAGACACUUCUUCAUUCCUCCAAGAGUUUGACAACAAUGAAUCAAGGGUUAGAGAGAUUGUAGGGGAGCUGAAGGCCACUUCUAUUGAAGUCAAAGAUAUAUGGGACAAAAGAACCAAACAGUGUAACACUGGAGCUAUUGUUUCAGGAAUAGGGUUCCUUGCAGCUCCAUUUACUGCAGGGCUGAGUUUACUAGCCUUGACUGCUGGUGGAGCUACCCUUGCUUAUGCAAAGAUACAGAAAGACAGUGAAGAGAGUGGAGGUGCAAAGAAGGUAGAAACACUGGGGAAAGAAUUGCUGGAGAUUGUUGAACCACUGAGGAAGAAAGCAGAGGAAAUAAAGACGACGUGUGAAACGCUGGAGGAAAAGUCAGGUUCAGAUGAAAGUGCUCUGGGUGAAACGGAUGAGUUUCAGAAGAUCCUCAGACGAGUGCCAGAAGUGAAGAAGAUGAGUGUGGGGGUGAUAGAUGUAGUUGUGGCCCUGAUGCAGAAAUUCAGUAAAAUGCUAAAACCCCUUCCAAGACCUGAUCGUGACGAUAUAAAGUUUAAAACAAAGAUAGAGUUUGAGAAAGAGAACACAACGACACUAGAUAACAUCCUCCAGGUAGCUGAACUGAGUCAGAAGGUUGUUGAUGAGUUUGAUAAGAUGAAGAAGGAACUUGGAGAAUUUCCAUGAAAGUACAAAACUGUGGAAAUGUCACCACAACCCAUCCCUGUUAGCCUGCAAGCCUCUAAAGUAACUUACAGGAUCUAUGUAACUUGAAUGUAUAGCCUGAAUAAAUAACCUGAAUAUAUUAAAGCAAUAUGGCACGAAAGGUGCAUUGGUAGCAGAUAUCGCCUUGACUGUGAUUUGUCCAUGAUAAGGUUGUAACAGAAAGUUAACGUUUCCACAGUGAUUACUCUCAAGAGUUUCAAUAAAAACGAUGUACAAACA